rnacentral:rRNA from 1 species
GACGAACGCUGGCGGCGUGCUUAACACAUGCAAGUCGAACGAAGAACGAUGGAAUCUUGCUUCUAUCACUCUUAGUGACGGGCGGGUGAGUAAUGAGUAACCAACCCGCCCUUCAGAGGGGGACAACAGUAGGAAACGACAGCUCAUACCGCAUCCGAUCUUAUCACGGGAUCGAGGAGAGAUGAAAGGUGGCCUCUACAUGUAAUCUCUCACUGAAGGAGGGUAUUGCGUCUGAUUAGCUAGCUGGAGGGGUAAAGGCCCACCUAGGCGGAGAUCAGUAGCCGGUCUGAGAGGAUGGGUGGCCAGACUGAGACUGUGACACGCCACAGACGCCCUCAGGAGGCAGCCAGGGGGAAUCUUCCGCAAUGGGCGGAAAUCUUACGGAGCAACGCCGCGGGCGUGAUGACGGCCUUCGGGUUGUAAAGGUCUGUUAAUCGGGACGAAAGGCCUUCUUGCGAAUAGUGAGAGGGAUUGACGGUACCGGAAGAGAAAGCCACGGCUAACUACGUG